AUUGAACUCUGGCGGCAGGCCUAACACAUGCAAGUCGAGCGAGCGGCGGACGGGUGAGUAAUGUAUGGGGACUGCCCGAUAGAGGGGGAUAACUACUGGAAACGGUGGCUAAUACCGCAUACUAUCGGAUAACCCAUAUGGGAUUAGCUAGUAGGUGGGGUAAAGGCUCUCCUAGGCGACGAUCUCUAGCUGGUCCGAGAGGAUGAUCAGCCCCAAUGAGACUGAAACACGGCCCAGACUCCUACGGAGGCAGGAGUGGGGAAUAUUGCACAAUGGGCACAAGCCUGAUGCAGCCAAGCCGCGUGUGUGAAGAAGGCCUUAGGGUUGUAAAGUACUUUCAGCGGGGAGGCGUUACCCGCAGAAAAAGCACCGGCUAACUCCGUGCCAGCAGCCGCGGUAAUAC
rnacentral:rRNA from 1 species